AUUGAACGCUGGCGGCAGGCUUAACACAUGCAAGUCGAGCGAGCGGCGGACGGGUGAGUAAUGUCUGGGAAACUGCCUGAUGGAGGGGGAUAACUACUGGAAAAGGUAGCUAAUACCGCAUAACAGAAGAUGUGCAGAGAUGGGGUUAGCUAGUAGGUGGGGUAAUGGCUCACCUAGGCGACGAUCCCGAGCUGGUAUGAGAGGAGGACCAGCAACACUGGAACUGAGACACGCUCCAGACGCCUACGGGAGGCAGCAGUGGGGAAUAUUGCACAAUUGGCGCAAGCCUGAUGCAGCCAUGCCGCGUGUGUGAAGAAGGCCUUCGUGUUGUAAAGCACUUUCAGCGAGGAGGCGUUACUCGCAGAAGAAGCACCGGCUAACUCCGUGCCAGCAGCCGCGGUAAUUC
rnacentral:rRNA from 1 species